AUGUUCAUACACACCUACUGGUAUGCCAGGACCUUGAGGCCAAGCUCUAGAGAGGGGCUGGGCAAUAAAAUGGUCCAGGGGUGUAUUGGGCCCAGCAAAGGGUGUUAGAUCUCAGGGAAUGUUGGG